rnacentral:rRNA from 1 species
GACGAACGCUGGCGGCGUGCUUAACACAUGCAAGUCGAACGGAAAGGCCCUGCUUUUGUGGGGUGCUCGAGUGGCGAACGGGUGAGUAACACGUGAGUAACCUGCCCUUGACUUUGGGAUAACUUCAGGAAACUGGGGCUAAUACCGGAUAGGAGCUCCUGCUGCAUGGUGGGGGUUGGAAAGUUUCGGCGGUUGGGGAUGGACUCGCGGCUUAUCAGCUUGUUGGUGGGGUAGUGGCUUACCAAGGCUUUGACGGGUAGCCGGCCUGAGAGGGUGACCGGCCACAUUGGGACUGAGAUACGGCCCAGACUCCUACGGGAGGCAGCAGUGGGGAAGAUUGCACAAUGGGCGGAAGCCUGAUGCAGCAACGCCGCGUGCGGGAUGACGGCCUUCGGGUUGUAAUCCGCUUUCGCCUGUGACGAAGCGUGAGUGACGGUAAUGGGUAAAGAAGCACCGGCUAACUACGUG